GUGCGAGACCUGGGGGUGGGGGGCACGGGGAUGGUCGCACACUGGCUGCAACCCGGGCAGAAGCAGGGCCAGCUUGUCCCCCAGGGCCCCGCCCAACCUGCCUCUCACAGCGCCCUGGAGGGGGAGCACCGCCAUUGGGAUGGGGUGGGGGGCACUAUCCGUCUCCAUGGCCUGUGCGCUCUUUUGUGGCCGCCCCCCCAGGGUUGGUUGCGACGUGCCCCUCUGGCCUAGCCUGUCGCUGACGGAGGAGAGGGCACCCGGCCCUGAACGGGUGCAUCUCCUACCAACCCCCUGGAGCCGUGCAGGCCCUCCGCUUACCCCCUGUGCCCCUUAGAAUCACUACGGGGCGACGGCCCCUGCUAUGCCCAGGCUGGUUGUCUAAAAGAUCUGCUCUAGGCACCAUUUUGGGGGCAGCUCUGUAGCCCAUGUUAUAUAGGAGGUCAGACAAGAUGGUCACAAAGGUCCCGUCGGGCCCCCUCAGCCUCUAAUCCCUGGCUAACCUAGAACCAGCACACGGGCACAACACACUCUUAAUAACUUUUAAGAUGUCCUAUAAGCAAAGCCACAGUAUGGGAAGGGGAGGAAAAGAGAGUAUUACAGUUUACAGAAAACGUCAUGCAUCUUGUGAUGUGUAUCAUUUUUAAUAGCAAAAAGACACCACACAGCAGCCAGACACGGUAAUGAUUAACCUAGUCCUCAACUUGGCUUUGAGCCCCACGUUAUCACUGGAAAAUCAUCCUAGAGCCAGAGAGAAUCAAUCUACCACACAAAGGACAGCUCAGACAAAAUAAGGAGGCAAUGUACCAGCCUCCAUUUAAACACCAAUCUGGGACAAGGAACAGUGGGUAUGAAUAAAGGAUAGUUCCAUUAGUAAGUACCAAGAGGCCAUCCUGUUUAAACUUCAUUAUUCCCACCAGAGACAAUAACUAUGGGCCAUGCUUUUUGCUUCUAGGUGUUAUUGUGAAAUGAAUAAUGUGUAAGCAUUUUGUUCCCAUGAGAAAACUGGUUACAGAGUCCAGUGACUGUUACAAAUGUCUUAAUAGAUCAAAACUAUGACUUUUAGAGUCUUUUCUUUACAUGUCUCCUACAAGACAUGGUGUGGCGAAAGUGGGGGCAUUUUCUUGGUUUUUUCAAGUUUGCAUGUAGAGGGGGUGGGACUCAGUUUCCCUGGGUGUUACUGGUUUAACGAGGUGAUGGGAGAGGGAGUUUGUUGUUACAGAGGCCCAGCGACGGAACUUGAGACUCCAGUCAAUGGCCAGGAGAAUGGAUACCCCAGCGAUUGGUGACCAGGAGCCCCAGCUCGGCCAACACAGAGGGUUCUGGCCAGUGGGAGGACAAUGGGCUGCAGAGAGAGGACCCCAAUGACCUGACCAGCUGGGUCCAGCUAGUGGGCUAAAAGGAGAGGAGGCCCAGGCAACCCUGUUUACUUGAACAAAAGAUAAAGGACAAAGGCGGGGCUUGGGAGCAGGUGAUAGUGGAUGCCCAGCUGGAAAGCAGGGGGUCUCUGAGCGGGAGAGGGAGAGAAAGAGAGCCCACGAGGAUGUAGGGGAGACUUAGAUGUACUGUGCUGAAGGAGGCCAGGCCUGAGGGCCCUGAGAGUUUCCUGUACUGUGUUCAGACGCUCAGUAAACCCUCCUAUUUUACACUGAAUGAGAGUCGCUCCAGUCUAGAGAACAGGGGUGCAUUAUUCCCUCUGGGAGCAGAGGCCCUGGGCUUCCAGAGUGAGUGGACUCCCUGAGGGGGCCCAUGACGAGAGACAGGUUUGCUAAAGGCUCAGAGAGGUGUGGUGCCAAGAGGUGGAGGGGUUUAACCACCAAGAGUGGACCCCCGAGGAGGAUGAAGUGAGCUGUAGCUCACGAAAGCUUAUGCUCAAAUAAAUGUUAGUCGCUAAGGUGCCACAAGUACUCCUUUUCUUUUUUCACUGAAGAGGGUUCCCCCCCAGGGACUGUAUAGGGCCAAGAGUGGACAUGACCUAUGAGUCCGUGACACAUGGCAACACACAGCACUUGAAAACCCUGAUAAUAGCAAAUGUUAAUUAAGUUAAAUAUUAAGCCUCUUAAAUAUUUGCAAGAGAAGAGCAACUUUUAACUUUUAAUCUAAACAAAAAGAAUCCAGCGGUCAUUUGGUUUCCCAGCAGCAAUUGGAAAUGCCAGCCUUUGCAGAUACCCCCAUAUGCUCUCCUGUGAUGCUCCCCAGGGUUACUCAGGGUUGUGAGGCACCUCACCACUGCCUGCUCUUAGCAUGAAAUAGUCAUGUCUGUGCCUGUUGUGGGUCAGUACCCUGAAACCACCAGACUCUAGCAGCAAAACACCACUUUCCAGGCCUUGCUCUCUCUCUCUACAGGUAGUGUGAUAGGCACACACCAACCCCUGAAUACUCAGAGCAUUCUCUGGAGCAUCCAGCCCCUUAUCCACUGAACACUCACACAAUCACCAGGCCUGCUGUUCCCAAAGGUUGAACAUGUCCUUCCUCCCUCGAAAGCUGUUAAGACAUCAGUUGUACUGGAGAGAGAGAGCCCUAGUCACAGGCAAAGAAAGCCCUGCAUCCAACCAGCACUGCCACCCCUUCCCCUUGGGGAAGAUCCGCUACCUGUAGACAACCAGCUGGGUGAUCUUGAAUCGCAAAGUGCACAGGUGACUUCUCACUCCAUGCCAAUAUCUUGUGCUCGUGCCUUAAGAGGCGAUACUCUGGUCAUUUGGUGCCAGGCUCCCUGACUAAAUGGCCAUUUGCUAACGCUGCAUUAUUUCAAGGUCUCGCCCUAUCCCUCCCAUCAGGAUUGGAAACUAUAUUCUAGAACUGCUGCCUCCAUUGCACAAAAUCUUGGAAAACGGCCCUGACUCAGGGCAAUGACUUUUAAAUUGGGGUCUCUUCUCUCUCCACUGGGAGUAGAGGGGAACAGCACAGGAAUGGAAGUUGUAGGCCCCCUAAUCCAGCCCAACGUAUGCACGCUCACUCGUUGCUGAGUCUGCAGGUAAAACCAUGCAUCUUCCCACCCUGCUCCCACUGUCCUUAAGGGAAGCAGCUGUGGAGUCAGCUCACACAUCCAGGCAUGCAGGCUCCAGCAGUGCCCAGCUAGUUCAAACUUCUCUCCUCCGCUCAGCCCAGCCUUGGGCAACCUUCACGGACACCCUCACCUCCCGUAGCAUGAAGCUUUCUGGGAAGUGGGAGAAUGGGGAGAGGGAAGAGGACAAAUGGCAGCAAAACACAAUGUAAACAGGGGAAAGGGGGAGAAGAAGAAAAGAAAAAGAAAAACAGAAAAAACAAGAGGAAAAGAG